rnacentral:rRNA from 1 species
UGGGGAAUAUUGGGCAAUGGAGGGAACUCUGACCCAGCCAUGCCGCGUGCAGGAUGAAGGCGUUAUGCGUUGUAAACUGCUUUUUAUAUAGGAAGAAAUAGUCCUUGCGAGGAAAGUUGACGGUACUAUAUGAAUAAGCACCGGCUAACUCCGUGCCAGCAGCCGCGGUAAUACGGAGGGUGCAAGCGUUGUCCGGAUUUAUUGGGUUUAAAGGGUGCGUAGGCGGUUUAUUAAGUCAGUGGUGAAAGACGGUCGCUCAACGAUUGCAGUGCCAUUGAUACUGGUAGACUUGAGUAUGAUUGAGGUAGCUGGAAUGGAUAGUGUAGCGGUGAAAUGCAUAGAUAUUAUCCAGAACACCAAUUGCGUAGGCAAGUUACUAAGUCAUAACUGACGCUGAGGCACGAAAGUGUGGGUAUCAAACAGGAUUAGAUCCCCGUAGUCCCUGAGCGGGCUGGCAAGGCGCAU